CCUACGGGUGGCAGCAGUGGGGAAUAUUGCACAAUGGGGGGAACCCUGAUGCAGCGACGCCGCGUGAGUGAAGAAGCUUUUCGGCAUGUAAAGCUCUAUCAGCAGGGAAGAAAAUGACGGUACCUGACCAAGAAGCCCCGGCUAACUACGUGCCAACAGCCGCGGGAAUACGUAGGGGGCAAGCGUUAUCCGGAUUUACUGGGUGUAAAGGGGGCGUAGACGGCAGAGCAAGUCCGAAGUGAAAGCCCGCGGCCCAACUGCGGGACUGCUUUUGAAACUGCCUGGCUGGAGUGCUGGAGAGGUAGGCGGAAUUCGUAGUGUAGCGGUGAAAUGCGUAGAUAUUAGGAGGAACACCGGUGGCGAAGGCGGCCUGCUGGACGGUAACUGACGUUGAGGCUCGAAGGCGUGGGGAGCAAACAGGAUUAGAUACCCUGGUAGUC
rnacentral:rRNA from 1 species